CCCACGUGGUUUCAGUUUCCUCCGCCUUCUUCUAAAGUUCUAAACCUUCACCUGUUCCUCAAUUCUCUCGCUCUAGUGCAGAAGAUUUUCCCGUGCUCUGUUGUUCUAGCCUCGCUACUGUUGUUCAUUUGCUGGGAGAACUAUCAAGCUAUUGCACAAUGGAUUUGUGAAGCAGGGUCUGUUGCAAUGUAUUUUUGAUUGCACUGAUUGUUUUCCCCAUUGCUUCACUGGUGGAUCCAUUCCUUUGUUUGGUCACAUGACAGUCACAUGCUCUUCCUCACAUAACAACAAUAGCAAUAGUUUAUUCUUAAUAUUCAGGCAUCAUUAUACAAUAUAAUCAGCUCUACCGGCAACAGUAUAUUGUUGGAGUAUUGUUGUGAGUUUCUUCAUUUCAUUGUUACCUACAUCUCUCGCUUGUCUUUAAUGACGCACACUGCAACACUUGAUGGCAUCAUCACUAACCUGACCAAUACAAUCCAGUCGUUAGAGUCGUGUGACCAAUUGAACGAAGAUGGGAUACAUGUAUUAUUACAUGUUUAUUGGAUGAUGAUAUCACUACUAUGCAUAGCAGUUACUAUCCUUGGUUAGUAUCAUAAGUUCGUGUGUUCUAGGAUCAAUAUUGUAUCAUGUGCUGUUAAUCAAUGCCUUUCUUUAGCUUGGUGUAUGCAUGUGCUUUGUUGUUUAGUUAAUUCCAAUUAAUGCCUUUCUUCAAAUGUCACCUUGUCUUCAAUAGGAUCCUUUGUCCUAUACAUAAUAGCAUGUACUUGUAGCUACAUUGUAUGUUGUAGUUGCACUUGAUAUUUAUAUUUCUUUUUUUGUUCUUUUCUGUCGGUGAUAAA